rnacentral:rRNA from 1 species
UACGAAGGGGGCUAGCGUUGCUCGGAAUCACUGGGCGUAAAGGGUGCGUAGGCGGGUUUUUAAGUCAGGGGUGAAAUCCUGGAGCUCAACUCCAGAACUGCCUUUGAUACUGAAGAUCUUGAGUCCGGGAGAGGUGAGUGGAACUGCGAGUGUAGAGGUGAAAUUCGUAGAUAUUCGCAAGAACACCGGUGGCGAAGGCGGGUCUCUGGGCCGAUACUGACGCUGAGGAGCGAAAGCGUGGGGAGCAAACAGG